GCGGUUCCUUCCCUUUCCGCCGCCCUGUUGCCCUCCGCCCCCACCGCCGGUCGCCGCCCUUUGCCUCUCGCCCUCCUCCACCGUCGUCGGUCGCCGUCCUUGGCCGCUGCCCCCUCGUGGGCUCCCCACGUCUCGACCCCCGCCAUCGCCGCCCCUCCGACCCCCGUCGUCCACUCUGCCCGUCCGACCGGCGGCGUGCUGGUGACGGAUCUGGUCCGCUCCGCCCUCCGGCGACAUCGUCCGUCUAUCUAGGCUGGCGACGUCGAGGCGAAGCAAUGGGCGGCGGAUCCGAUCCAGCGGCGUCGAGGUGGAUCGCGGGCGGCGGCGUCGAGGCGGUGUAGCAGCCGGCAGAUCCGGGCGGCGACAUGGAGCGGGCGGCGGAUCCAUACGCUGGUGUCGAAGAGGCGGCGUCGACGGUGGCGGUGCUGUCGAGGCGUCAGCGCGAACGGCGGCUGGACGAAGACGGACGGAGGCGACAUCCAGGCAGAGGCACGGGUGGCGGGAACGCCGGUGACGUGCACCGGCCGUCCGAGAAGACCGCAACCACCCUCCUGCAGGUUGAACUACUGGUGCUACGCCAGCCAAUCAAUAAUCUCCUAAGUGAUUCCUACCCGCUUCCACACCUGGGCGUUCUUCAAUUUAACAAUUAUGCCUCGGUUUGCCUUUCUAAGCCUUAAACUUGCAUUACUCAAAAUGUUUGAGUAGUAGUCUGAUGCAGUUCAGUGGUGGCGGUGAGCUAAACCCCAAACUAAUUAGUAGCUUCCUAAUCUAUUUGUCUCCAUGCCCCCAAACUGUUAUGAAAUGCAUUGUCAGCAAACAAAAUCAUUUUUUUUAUUCAUUGGCAACCUGGUUCACACUUAAUACAUCUUAUCUAUACUAGCUUCACUUCACCAGAUUAGUAGUGGUUGGUUAUUUGUCGAUGUUUACUUUCAAGGUUUGUGCAGACAAGUUUUAAUGUUUGCACUUAAUCACCCUACCUAAUUUCUUUUUUGGCGAGAAGAACCCUACCUGAUUUUGUUACUAUGAUGACAGUCUCACUAGAUGAAUGUUAUCUCAACUGAACUCUUAACUGUGUUGCAGGUUUAAAUUUAAAUUGCCAUGCUUCUUUAUCUCCAAAAUAUCUUUUUAUUGCUUCCCUCCAUUUCACAAAGUACAGGUUGAUACAACUUGAUACUUUUAGAAUAGUAGUCAGCUGUACUUUAUUGGUGAUGAUGAGCCAAACUAAUUUCAAUGAACAAGCUAUCAAGAUGUAGUUUCCUAAUCUAUUUUUCUCCAUGCCUCCGCACCAAACAAUAAUUAACAUUGACUUUUGUCCCCCGUUUCCUAAAUGAGAGAUAACUUUUAAUACUUUAAUGGUGUAGAAUUAUUAGACAGAAUAGUAACUUUGACAGCAGGUUUUGUAAUUGAAUCUGUUUCUUUUUUCAACUGAACUUUUCAUUAACUUGCGCUGUGUUGGUUCUUCCAUUUGGUGACCAAGGGUGGCUUCGUUCAAAUAGCUAGCUGCAUCUUCGGAGGGAUUGUUUGCAAGAUUCCGCUAGCAGCUUGGUUAAGGCUAAAACAAGUUGUAAUGGGUGUGCUUUAAGUGGAAUGUGUUCAUAUUGUCAGAUUAGUUGAAGCCCAACUAUGAACAAUGGGAAAAAGGUGAAUAUUUAUCUACAUUGAAGCAUUCACAUGGAUGAGGGCCCAUGAUUGUCCUAAGGUUGCUUUUAAAGCACUACCGAGCUGCCUUACAUGGAAAGAGAAAACAUUUCUCUAGCCUUUUUCCUACUGUUACUUCAUCUUGCAAAUUUCUCAUCUCUAACUUGAAAAAACAAGUAGUAGGAGGGGUUUAAUCAUGAGUCCUUCGAUAUUUUCAAUAUUGCAGAGCCUUAUCAUGGAGAGUUGUGACAUCAGAGGCCUCCUUAAAACUAUUACGAAUUAUUCAUAGUAAUAAUGCAUAUGGUGAUUAUAAUUUGUUAGUCAUCUUUA